CUUGACGACCAUAGCGAGGUGGUCCCACCCCUUCCCAUCCCGAACAGGAUCGUGAAACGCCUUUGCGCCGAUGAUAGUGGACGUACGUCUGUGAAAGUAGGUCAUCGUCAAGCUCUUAUCUCCCAACGCCCCGACAG
rnacentral:rRNA from 1 species